rfam:Chelonia mydas contig180288, whole genome shotgun sequence.
GAAAAAGUAGUCUUGAGGUGAGAUACAAGAUUGGCAGUCAGGCAUUCUGGGUUUGAUUCCCAGCUACUUCA